rnacentral:rRNA from 1 species
GACAGAGGGUGCAAACGUUGUUCGGAAUUACUGGGCGUAAAGCGUGUGUAGGCUGCUACAUAAGUCCGGUGUGAAAGUCAAAGGCUCAACCUUUGAAUGCCGCUGGAAACUGUCUGGCUAGAGUCCGGGAGGGGCGAGUGGAAUUCCUGGUGUAGCGGUGAAAUGCGCAGAUAUCAGGAGGAACACCAAUGGCGAAGGCAGCUCGCUGGAACGGUACUGACGCUGAGGCGCGAAAGCGUGGGGAGCGAACAGG